rnacentral:lncRNA from 1 species
ACCAGAUUAAUUUAUGCUAACAGACUGCCUAAACAUGUCAACAGAAGUGUAAAACUAUCUCUUCCUGCUGUUAUCAUAAGAAGUUACAUGAGGAGUGGUGGUGGUGAACCGUUAAGAUUUUGUUCAAAAUGGUACACAUUUGUAGGAGGGUUAUUUGUUGAAUAAUUUCUGUACAGAUGAGGAUGUCUCCUGACACGUCAAGCUUUGGACAUCAGAGAAGGAGAUGACUGAGGUUUUCCAGAAGGAAACAAGGCCUUCAGAGUCCAUCUGAGAGGAGGAAGCGCGUUGACCAAUCAGAGCGGCUGGAGCAGGAGCAGACCAUCGCGGCUCAGACAGCAGGGGGGUUCGGGGUCGGCUCGGCAGGCCGGCGUCAGCGUCCUACCCGCCUUCCCCGCAGCUCCGUGUCCCCUCGCGUCACGGCGGUGGGUGGUACGGCCCGGCAGGCUGGAUAAAAAACCCCUCCUCUCCCUCUGGUCUCUCUGCCCCCCCCCACCCCUCGUUCUGACAGUGGUAGGGUGUAGCUACAGAUGCUGUACUACAGCAGAAGACAGUGAGAGUGGAAGGGAGGAGGGACAUCAGGUGUCACAGCGCUUCAACCAGGCUCAUUUCCACGACAACCAGCUCCAGAGGUGCCACCAGGUGAGUCUGAUGACAUGCAGCCAAAUUCUUACACGCACACACACUAUGACACAAUAAAGUGAUUGCACUUUGCUUUCACGCAGGGAUGGAUUGACAGGUUUGGUUGCACAGACGUGCAGCUGAGAUGCUCUCCAGGAGGUUUCAUCUCCUAGGUCCCUCACGCAUGAGCAUAUUUCAUUGUGUGUCACUGCUGCGCGCAUACAGUAUAUGUGAGUGUGUAUGGACGCCGUCCCUCCCUGCGUGCUGGUAGGAGACAAAAGGCCCCCCCCCCCCACCACCACGUCUGGCGCUUUAGCCGCUGAUGCGUGGGAAAGUUUUCC